ensembl:snRNA U2 U2 spliceosomal RNA
ACUGCUUUUGGCCUUUUGGCUAAGAUCAAGUGUAGUAUCCGUUCACAUCAGUUUAAUAUAGGUGUUGAACAACAGUGGGAGAAAAAAUAACUUAAGUUCCUCUUUUAUUAUACUUGAAACAAAAUGCCUCAAUUUCAGACACUUACUAAAUAUUAAUAGGACAUCCAUU